GCUUGCUGGGUGGAUCAGUGGCGAACGGGUGAGUAACACGUGAGCAACCUGCCCCUGACUCUGGGAUAAGCGCUGGAAACGGCGUCUAAUACUGGAUACGAAACAUGAUCGCAUGGCUCACGUCUGGAAAGAUUUUUUGGUUGGGGAUGGGCUCGCGGCCUAUCAGCUUGUUGGUGAGGUAAUGGCUCACCAAGGCGUCGACGGGUAGCCGGCCUGAGAGGGUGACCGGCCACACUGGGACUGAGACACGGCCCAGACUCCUACGGGAGGCAGCAGUGGGGAAUAUUGCACAAUGGGCGCAAGCCUGAUGCAGCAACGCCGCGUGAGGGAUGACGGCCUUCGGGUUGUAAACCUCUUUUAGCAAGGAAGAAGCGAAAGUGACGGUACUUGCAGAAAAAGCGCCGGCUAACUACGUGCCAGCAGCCGCGGUAAUACGUAGGGCGCAAGCGUUAUCCGGAAUUAUUGGGCGUAAAGAGCUCGUAGGCGGUUUGUCGCGUCUGCUGUGAAAUCCCGAGGCUCAACCUCGGGCCUGCAGUGGGUACGGGCAGACUAGAGUGCGGUAGGGGAGAUUGGAAUUCCUGGUGUAGCGGUGGAAUGCGCAGAUAUCAGGAGGAACACCGAUGGCGAAGGCAGAUCUCUGGGCCGUAACUGACGCUGAGGAGCGAAAGGGUGGGGAGCAAACAGGCUUAGAUACCCUGGUAGUCCACCCCGUAAACGUUGGGAACUAGUUGUGGGGUCCUUUCCACGGAUUCCGUGACGCAGCUAACGCAUUAAGUUCCCCGCCUGGGGAGUACGGCCGCAAGGCU
rnacentral:rRNA from 1 species